AGGGAAUAUUAGAAAUGGACGAAAGUCUGAUCUAGCAACACCGCGUGUGCGAAGAAGGCCUUCGGGUCGUAAAGCACUUUUUGGAAGGAAUAGGAAGGAAUGUACUUCCAGAAUAAGUCUCGGCUAACUACGUGCCAGCAGCCGCGGUAACACGUAGGAGGCAAACGUUAUCCGGAUUUACUGGGCGUAAAGCGCGUGUAGGUGGUACUGUAAGUAGGGCGUGAAAGCUCCUGGCUCAACUGGGAGAGGCCGUUCUAAACUACAGAACUAGAGGAUGGUAGAGGGAGGUGGAAUUCCAGGUGUAGCGGCGGAAUGCGCAGAUAUCUGGAGGAACACCGGUGGCGAAGGCGGUCUCCUGGACCAUUCCUGACACUCAGACGCGAAAGCUGGGGUAGCAAACGG
rnacentral:rRNA from 1 species